AUGAAGCAUGAAUUUCUGAAUUACAAACAACGUACAUAUUUUCUGAAUCCAAACCAAAAUCAAGUAUAUACCGUAGCUUGUUGUAUUGUUGAUCCAACCACAUGCUCUGUUUCUGCAUGCCAUGGAAGCUUUACUUUCAAAUCCUCUUUUUCUGCACGACAAUUGAAAAUAAUGCAGGAGUCGGAGAAUGAACGGAAUUGCUUUGAACUUCACAGCACUAAAUUCCUAAAGGCAAAACUUUUUAGUACUACAGGAUAUACCUUCAGAGAUUAUGACAGUUCUAAUAAACAUAUCUUGUUUAUUGGUUAG
rnacentral:rRNA from 1 species